CCAGACUCCUACGGGAGGCAGCAGUGGGGAAUCUUCCGCAAUGGGCGAAAGCCUGACGGAGCAACGCCGCGUGAUCGAAUGAAGGCCUUCGGGUUGUAAAGAUCUGUUGACAGGGACGAAUAAGCAAUGCGAAUAGUUUUGUGUAUGACGGUACCUGUUUAGAAAGCUCCGGCUAACUACGUGCCAGCAGCCGCGGUAAUACGUAGGGAGCGAGCGUUGUCCGGAUUUACUGGGUGUAAAGGGUGCGUAGGCGGCCCUGCAAGUCAGAAGUGAAAUCCAUGGGCUUAACCCGUGAACUGCUUUUGAAACUGCAGGACUUGAGUGGAGUAGAGGUAGGCGGAAUUCCCGGUGUAGCGGUGAAAUGCGUAGAGAUCGGGAGGAACACCAGUGGCGAAGGCGGCCUACUGGGCUUUAACUGACGCUGAAGCACGAAAGCGUGGGUAGCAAACAGGAUUAGAUACCCUCGUA
rnacentral:rRNA from 1 species